rnacentral:tRNA from 1 species
GGCCCCAUCGUCUAGCGGUUAGGACACCGGCUUUUCACGCCGGCAACGGGGGUUCGAUUCCCCCUGGGGUCA